rnacentral:sRNA from 16 species
UUAAUAAAUACACAUCAGUAAUAAAGAAUCGGGUUAUACCCCGACCGAGCAAAUAAAUAGAAUAUCUGGUGUCCGAUGAUGAAUACUCUACAAAACGUUAAAUACUGGUCGUGGAUGGGCGCGUUUACCGUCUCCACUCUGUUCUGGUGUCAGCUUAUCUGGCUGGCCCUAAACUAAAUCUAAAACCUCGCUGCGGCGAGGUUUUUUGUUUUA